ACAAGCGGUGGAGUAUGUGGUUUAAUUCGAUGCAACGCGAAGAACCUUACCUGGUCUUGACAUCCCGGAGACCCUUAGGAACAGGGGGUGCUUCCAUCUGGAAGAAUCUGGAGACAGGUGCUGCAUGGCUGUCGUCAGCUCGUGUCGUGAGAUGUUGGGUUAAGUCCCGCAACGAGCGCAACCCUUGCCUUUAGUUGCCAGCAGUUCGGCUGGGCACUCUAAAGGGACUGCCGGUGUUAAACCGGAGGAAGGUGGGGAUGACGUCAAGUCCUCAUGGCCUUUAUGACCAGGGCUACACACGUACUACAAUGGCCGAUACAAAGGGCAGCGACACUGCGAGGUGAAGCCAAUCCCGUAAAAUCGGUCUCAGUCCGGAUUGGAGUCUGCAACUCGACUCCAUGAAGUUGGAAUCGCUAGUAAUCGUGGAUCAGCAUGCCACGGUGAAUACGUUCCCGGGCCUU
rnacentral:rRNA from 1 species